CCAGACUCCUACGGGAGGCAGCAGUAGGGAAUCUUCGGCAAUGGACGGAAGUCUGACCGAGCAACGCCGCGUGAGUGAAGAAGGUUUUCGGAUCGUAAAGCUCUGUUGUAAGAGAAGAACGAGUGUGAGAGUGGAAAGUUCACACUGUGACGGUAUCUUACCAGAAAGGGACGGCUAAUUACGUGCCAGCAGCCGCGGUAAUACGUAGGUCCCGAGCGUUGUCCGGAUUUAUUGGGCGUAAAGCGAGCGCAGGCGGUUAGAUAAGUCUGAAGUUAAAGGCUGUGGCUUAACCAUAGUACGCUUUGGAAACUGUUUAACUUGAGUGCAAGAGGGGAGAGUGGAAUUCCAUGUGUAGCGGUGAAAUGCGUAGAUAUAUGGAGGAACACCGGUGGCGAAAGCGGCUCUCUGGCUUGUAACUGACGCUGAGGCUCGAAAGCGUGGGGAGCAAACAGGAUUAGAUACCCUGGUAGUCCACGCCGUAAACGAUGAGUGCUAGGUGUUAGACCC
rnacentral:rRNA from 1 species